GAUGAACGCUGGCGGCGUGCCUAAUACAUGCAAGUCGAGCGAACAGAUAAGGAGCUUGCUCCUUUGACGUUAGCGGCGGACGGGUGAGUAACACGUGGGUAACCUACCUAUAAGACUGGGAUAACUUCGGGAAACCGGAGCUAAUACCGGAUAAUAUUUCGAACCGCAUGGUUCGAUAGUGAAAGAUGGUUUUGCUAUCACUUAUAGAUGGACCCGCGCCGUAUUAGCUAGUUGGUAAGGUAACGGCUUACCAAGGCGACGAUACGUAGCCGACCUGAGAGGGUGAUCGGCCACACUGGAACUGAGACACGGUCCAGACUCCUACGGGAGGCAGCAGUAGGGAACCUUCCGCAAUGGGCGAAAGCCUGACGGAGCAACGCCGCGUGAGUGAUGAAGGUCUUCGGAUCGUAAAACUCUGUUAUUAGGGAAGAACAUACGUGUAAGUAACUGUGCACGUCUUGACGGUACCUAAUCAGAAAGCCACGGCUAACUACGUG
rnacentral:rRNA from 1 species